GAUAAACGCUGGCGGCGUGCUUCAGGCAUGCAAGUCGAACGGUCAUCUGGUUUCGGCCAGAUGGUAGUGGCGGACGGGUGAGUAACACGUAAGUAACCUGCCCGGAAGUGGGGAAUAACUAGCCGAAAGGCUGGCUAAUACCGCAUGUGAAGGUCCUUCCUCGGGAGGGUCGUUGAAAGGUGCAAAUCGCUUUCGGAGGGGCGUUGCGGCCGAUUAGCUAGUUGGUGGGGUAAUGGCCUACCAAGGCGACGAUCGGUAGCUGGUCUGAGAGGACGGUCAGCCACACGGGGGACUGGAGAUA
rnacentral:rRNA from 1 species